UGAAACUUUAUUAUUCCCUGAGAUUGGCUUUGGACCUUUCCUAGGCAGCUUAAGUGGAAGACAAAGAAGGCCUCCUUCAGAGGGGUAUAAGCCAUUAGUAAGACACCACUUUAGAAAAGCUAGAAUUCUAACCUUAUGUUAGGACUUAUGGGCCAAGAGAUAAUCAGUCUCAAGUAGAUAGUUUCUACAGGGCAUAGGCCUCCCAAAAGGUAAUGAAGGAGUGCAAAAGUUUCCUCGAGCCGAAUGGUGAUUGGCUCUUGAGUGCAAAGGUAAAAGAUAGCUUGACUGCAAGAUUCACUCGUUGAGCAAGGACUAAAGUUAGUCUUAGUGAUCUGACGAUGCCGAGUGGAAGGACAUAUAGAGUUUCAAAUAACAAAAGUCAAUC
rnacentral:ncRNA from 1 species